AGCGAGUUAUUCUUUCCAAAUUUUUGGGAGCAGUUACUUUCUUACUCAUCUGUAGGUCCAUGUAGUUAGUUUUGUGCAAAAUCGUCUUGUGCUUCGAGCAAUAGCCGCCGAUUAUAGGUAUCUGGCGAAGAUCGGUUAGUUACUCUACAUCACUCAAAGUUUCUCUGUCUCUUUCUCUAACCUUGUGAGCUGCUGCUUGGCUUUCAAUAUUGUUGUACAUUGAGCGCUGAAAGCUCUUUCGACUGUGUUACUACCUCAACAGCUUUCUGAAAGAUCUCCUGUGGUAUUGAUCCUGGACCGUCUGUAUUUGGGAUGGUACAUCGUAUCCCGACUCAUACAGACCAGCAGAUGUACUCGUGUGGUUCACUGGCUCCCAAAUGAGGAGGGGAGGAUAUAUACACUCACACUAUCACGAGCCGUGGGAGAAGAGUGAGGGGUGAGAGUGUGUGCAUGUUGUGUGUGGAGAUGAGAUUGAGUGUGGUAUGGGGUAUGUUGAUGUGACAUGUGGAUUAGGUGCACUUUUGUAGAUGUGCUGUAUAGUAGGUAGAUAAAUGUGGUGUGGUCACUGUAUCAGCCAGUGACACAAGUGUUGUGUACAGCUUGUGAAUAUGUUGUGUAUUGUUCAUUGAGGUAGAGUACGUAUAGUAAUAAUGGUAGUUUUAACCCAUUGUACACCCCCUCCAGUUCCUUCUCCUGCUGGAGAGCUAAGUAGUGUAAGUGGGUGUGGUGACCGAAUGUCCUCCCUCCCCCCCUCUGUGCUGAGACACUACAACACAGACACUACCCUAAACACAUCAACCUUCUGGAGACACUGCUCAAACUGGAAAAUUUUGUUCUGAUCAACUACAUUUCACCUGGUCUCUCCCUGCACAUCAAGCUCCCAGGAUUCUCCACCCACUCUCCCCUACCCCACACAUCAGUGCAUGUGCUGGUCUUCACAUCAAAGGGGAACAGUCCCUCGUCACAGCGAUAGGUGACCUCUGAACCCAGUGAGAAGAGUGGUGUCCCACCACUGAUGUCCACACUACCUCUGGAUGGUGCAUUAGGAGAGCCACAGGUGACUGGGGGAUCUAAUAAGGACACCAAUGAAAAGAAGCAUGUACAAAUUUAUGAUUAAGAUUAUAUACCUGUAAUCGGACUGCUGCAGUCAAAGGUCCCAGGGUCAGGAGACCAUCCACUACUGCCACAUGUUGAGGUUCUCACUUCAUUGUCUCCACUGUAAGUGAAGGUGAGCAUAGAUCCACCAAUAGUGACAGGAGGUGUGUUGGUGAUGGUCACACCAGCAGCAGUAGACGGUGUGGGGCACACAACUGUAAGAGAAGGAGCACAGAUAUAUAAUGUACAUGACGUUUAAUGAGCUUAUACUCAGAUUUACAAUUCUAGUUUCAUUCAUUCCAGCACAGUUGUCAGCUCUGAUAGUCACAUUGUAUAUAAUGUUGUGUAGGAGACAGUGAUUUGUGCUAAGGUGGUGUCCACAGUGACUGGUGACCCGGAGAGAGAUGUUGGGGAGAUGAUGAGGGCAUACCUGAUAGACACACCACUAGUAGAGGAGGGAGCCUCCCAGUCCAGAGUGAUAUCAGAGGAACUGGGUUGAUUUAGAGUGGAGGGUAUUCUUGGGUUUAGUGGAGAGGUUGGAUUACCUGUGUGUGACAUCAAUAAGAGACUGUGCUAGAUUAGUAAAGAUAGCUCCUCAUCAGCAACCAAUAUUGUCUGCUGUAGUUCAACAACUGUAAUACCAUUUAAAGUGCAGGUCACAAUGCUUCCAUCCAGUACAGACACUUCACUGAGGUUGAUGAGAGUAGAAGUCAGGUUUACUCCGUCACUGCUCACAAGAACAGCCUCAAACAUGAUCACUCUAAACCCAAAUGUGUCCCUUCGACCAACUAGAGAGGCCAAUGAAGGGUGUACUUUGCAUAGUCAUUAACCCAGACUCUGCUGGAGGUUCGACUUGCCAUCUCAGUACACUAGACAUAUCACCAGGCACAGAGCAUGUGAACAGAACUGCCUCUCCAGGACAUGCAGCACUGCUGUUGGACACCAGAGAGGCCUCUGUUGAAGUUAACGUGGAUCUUUACCGUCUGUUUUGUGAAGGAUGAAGAGUUGCUGGAGCUGGCGGAUCAUCUCAAUGAGAUCUCUCAGAAACUCUUGACUAUUUGUGAGGCUGGUGAGUAUGCAGUCACUGUUAGAAGCAUAGAUUAUUAAAGGGAUUAGAAACAGAAGCGGAUCACGUGCUAACAUACAUAGACUUGAUGCUUGUGAUUAGAAUGCCCUUGAUCUCAUCUGUGUUUCACUUUUUAAUUAGUGGAAACGAUAGCGUUGACUUAAAACUCUGCUAUAAGAGACGAUCAUUCAGGCAUUCAGGCAGGUAUUGUACCAGUGCUUUGUGCUGUUAUUGGGAGGUAAGUGCGUCUUAUAACAGCAUCAGGUUUUAAGCACUACAUCUCCUUUAGCUGGAUUAAGAUUGGCUGGCAGAAAAUUGCCCCCUCUGGAUCUCACCCAAGACACAAAACAUGGUAUUUGGGGUUUUACUCUGACUUGCAUCCAAAGGUCCUCUAUAUAACAUCAAUACAGCACCUCUAACAACGCUACUCGCCCUCACAGACACUAUAUAGUGACUGGUUCUAGUCUGUUGCAAUUAAUUUUCUUCAUGUCAGUGGGGUAGGCAGAGGGGACUGACGGGGCUAGCUUGAAACUGUAAUCUGUCGAUCUAUUCUGCAGUACUGUAUGCGCAUAGUUACUAGAAUGAUGUCAUGUAAUGGAUAUGUGGGCAGGGCCAUCUGAUGCGCAUGCUUACUGCUGAGGAAAAGUGAUGACCUUUUUUUAGUGAAUAAGUUUCAGCGUCUAUGCUUCAAUAAUUUGAGCCCUGCCCUUCCCAAUCCAAAAUUCAAAAUCCUGGCUACACCACUGCAUGUAAAAUAACAGCCUCGGUUAAACCACGGGGAAACAUGGAUUGUACCGCUUCCAUUUCCAAUCCCUUUCCUUUAUCUAUGUUGGAAGUGAUUGGCAUGUUAGUGGUAAUGAGUAUACUAAAAGUGAGACGGUGUACAAUCCAUUCAUUCUAACAUACAUGUACUUUGGUACAUACUUCUUCGAUAUACAAAAGACCUGCAUGGAAGUUCCCUUUAUCAAGCAUGAGACAUUUUAUUCUCUG